rnacentral:rRNA from 1 species
CCUACGGGUGGCACCAGUGGGGAAUAUUGCACAAUGGGCGCAAGCCUGAUGCAGCCAUGCCGCGUGUAUGAAGAAGGCCUUAGGGUUGUAAAGUACUUUCAGUUGGGAGGAAGGCGUUGAUGCUAAUAUCAUCAACGAUUGGCGCUACCAACAGAAGGAGCACCGGCUAACUCCGUGCCAGCAGCCGCGGUAAUACGGAGGGUGCAAGCGUUAAUCGGAAUUACUGGGCGUAAAGCGCACGCAGGCGGUUGAUUAAGUUAGAUGUGAAAUCCCCGGGCUUAACCUGGGAAUGGCAUCUAAGACUGGUCAGCUAGAGUCUUGUAGAGGGGGGGUAGAGUUCCAUGUGUAGCGGUGAAAUGCGUAGAGAUGUGGAGGAAUACCGGUGGCGAAGGCGGCCCCCUGGACAAAGACUGACGCUCAGGUGCGAAAGCGUGGGGAGCAAACAGGAUUAGAUACCCCAGUAGU